GUGAGCGCGCCGCCUCCUCACCGCGGCCGCAGCUUCCCUCAAUCCCCUCGUUGGCGUUCGUCAAUCUUCUUUCGAUUUCUUUCUCGCUGCGUAGUUUUUCUCGGUUUGAUUUAUUUUUACGUUGUACGGUUUUGCAAGAUCAGCUUCUUGUCUGGAUCUCGUUACCCACGGUCCCAGCCAAUCGGCAAAUCGUCCUGCCAUCUUGCUAGAUAGAACACCAAGCCGGCUUUCAACUCACCUGGAUCUGACUACUCGAUGAUUUUCCGGGCCCUUUCCGUCGGCACAGCACGUAAAUUUCUGCCAGAUUUUCUUUUUUUCUGAUGUGUGGAAGGAAAGCAAACUCACUCUGUCCCAAAGCUUUUCCGUGUUUUGAGGCAAUUUCUUCGUUUGCGAGAUGGAUUUAACCCAAACAUCUCGUCCUCGAGGGAGGUAUUAUUGUGAUCUCGUGGAGGUGUUUUGGAGACAUUCCAUGCGCGAAUCAGCAUUUUUUAGUCUACUGUUAAUAUCGUUCGUUCUUGUGAAGAGGAUUGGAUCUGGUUGGCUGGUGAUGAUUCAGGUCCGAAAGGAUCUUAGCGGAUUUCGGUGAGGUGGAUUCGUCUGCCGUUGAUCGAUUAUGUUGUUACACACACUGAAGCCUGUACCUUUCCAUCAUCUUCUGUCGAUUUUAUUGCUGUUUCCCCUGUGUUCUUGUGAUGCGAUGAUGAUUCAUAUAGGUUUUUGGCAGUGGUGGCGUCUAUCACCGUGAGCCUCCAAACCAAAAACGACUUCUCUUUCCACUGAGCAUUGCUUGAAGUUGUGUCAUCCUUUCCUUUUUGUACUGCUUCAUCUUGUCCCUGUGAGGAUCACUAGACCAGGAAGUGCCGUAUGACACUGUAAACAGCAGCCGCUUCUGUGCUGCUGGAAGUGUCCAUCACUGUAGCAUAACCUCUGUGGUUUGCUCUCGGAUGGAAUACCAUUUGCACCGGCUUGAUUCGGCUGUGUGCGUGAUUUGAAACGGGUCUCUGAGGGACUUAGCAAUGAUGUUUGUUCUCUUGCAGUUUUUUUCUCUUGUUUUCUUGGGCCCGAUGCCACGUCUCAGGUAGCCACAAGCCUUGACCAGAGAUGCUACAUUGUGCCAACAAAGAUUUUCACAUUUGAUAGGAACCUGUGGCUGUGAUUCAGUCGGUACACAGAGCCGUUUUUUGUGAUUACACUUCUUGCUUCACUUAAUGUUUUUGUGAUUGAUUGGGGAAAUCAAUGGCGAUGAUGUUAGAACUAAGGCUUGUUUCUCAAAACAUUCGCAGAUGCCGCCUAAGAGCUUUCGCCCUGCCAGGCUUGAGAGCUAAUGCUGCUAAUUCCUUCCUUGGAUGUCUGAGCCAUUUUGAUUUCCCUAGUUUGUUUUCUUUCUGCUGCAUCUUAUCUUUCUUGCCUUUGACAUUUUUCAUUCUCUUAGUAGAUUGUAGGGUGCUUAAGCUGAUUGAUAUAUACAUGUAUUCAAGAUUGAAUGAAGUUUUGGCCAUAGGUAGGAAUACAUUUGUCUCAGAAACAAUACAGAUCUUCAGAAUGUACAAUCAUCUCCAAGGUGGUGAUUCGUUUUGUUCCAUACUGACAUAGCUUAAAAUACAAGGUGCAUUUAUAAAAAUUUUAAUAUGAAGAGGACAACUUAUAUGCCUCUUAAUGGGUGGCAAAUGAUGUGAAAAUAUUCACAGAAUCAUUAAUAUGUUUUCUGCAUCUGAGAAUUCAAGACUGAAAUUGUAAGAAUUUAGCUGUUUCAGUUUGGAAGCUGUUCCAUUGAUACUUGCAGACGGUAGGAAGCAGGUGAUGUCUAUUUCUUGUUUGGCGACUGCUAUUUUCGGCUCGUCAGCGUGGUCAGCGCCGCGUUGGAUACAGCUGCUCUCAACGCUAUCACUUCGCCGGAAGUCACUCGUCGGAGCACUCGCUGGUUGCAAAAUCCUUCCCGUAGGAUAUUUUGUUGCUGAGCGAAACAGAGACAACAGUUGCAGCGAGAAAGCCUGUGGUUAUAUCUAAAUGGAUGUAGCAAAAAUUAUUGCCGGCAAUCAUAAUAUCUUAGAUAGCAAUUUGAAAUGUCAAAAUUGUACCUAUUUUUUAGUGUUCUUUGUAAUAAAAUCUUGAAUAGUAUCCUCAUAAUCAAUCUUCUCCGA